UUUGAUAGGGAUUGUGUUGAAUCUGUAGAUUGUUUUGAGUAAUAUGGACAUCUUAAAAAUAUUAAGUCUUCUUAUCCAUGAACACAGCAUACCUUUCCAUUUUUGUGCCUUCUUAAAUUUCUUUCAGCAAUGUUUGUGUGGUUUUCAGAGUACAAGUCUUUCCCCUUUUGGUUAGGUUUAUUCCCAAGUAUUUUAUUCUUUUUGAUGCUAUUGUAAAUGGAAUUUCCUUUUCAGAUUGUUCAUUGUUAGUGUAUAGAAACACAACUGAUUUUUGUGUGUUGAUUUUGUAUCUUGCAACUUUGCUGAAUUUAUUGGUUCUAGCAUUUUGUAUUUGUGUACUCUUUAGGGCUUUUUACGUAUAAGAUUAUGUCAUUCGCAAACAGAGAUCAUUUUACUUCCUUUUCAAUUUGGAUGCCUUUUAUUUUGUUUUCUUGCCUAAUUGCUCUGGCUGGGACUGUUUUGAAUGGAAAUGGUGAGUGUGUGCAUCCUGGCCUUGUUCCUGACUAGAGGAAAAGCUCUCAGUCUUUCAGCAUUGAGUGAUAUUAGCUGUGGACCUGUCAUAUAUGACCUUUACUACAUUGAGGUAGUUUUCUUCUACUCCUAGUUUGUUGAGUGUCUUUAUCAUCUAAGUGUGUUCAGUAUUGUCCAAUGCUUUUUCUGCAUCAGCUGAGAUGACUGAGUGCUUUUUGUCCUUCGGUCUGUUGGUUGGUGUGACAUGGUGACUGGUUUUCCUGUCUUGAACCCUCCUUGCAUCCUAGGGGUGAAUCCCACUUGGUCACGGUGUUUGAUCCUUUCAGUGUGCCGCUGAAUUUUGCUGGUAUUUUGUUGAGGAGUUUUGCAUCUGUGUUCAUCAGGGAUAUUGGCCUAUGAUUCUCUUUUCUUGUAGUGUCUUUCUCUGGCUUUGACGUUAGACUAAUGCUGGCCUCAUAAAAUGAGUUUGGAGUAUUUUCGUCUCAGUUUUUCAGAAGAGUCUGAGAAAGAUUGGCAUUAGUUCUUCAAAUGUUUUGUGAGUCACCAGUGAAGCCAUCUGGUGCUGGCUUUUCUAUGUUGGGAGGUUUUCCAUGACUGAUUCAGUCUCCUUACAAGUUCCAGGUCUGUCCAGGCUUUCUGUGUCUUUGUGAUUCAGUCUUGGUUGCUGUGUUUCUGGGAAGGUGUCCGGUUCUUCUCGGCCGUCCCGUGUGCUGGCCUGUGUUGUUCAGAGUCACCUCUCACGACCUUUGUCCUUCUGUGGUUCACUUGUAGUGUCUCUUCUCUCACUUGUGAGGAGGCGUUUUCAGGGAGAUUGCUGGAAUGGGCCAAAAUGAGGCCCCAGUGGGGAGCAUGGCCGGUGGAGGGCGCUGACGCACUGGAUCCUGAGAUUCUGGAUUCGCCUUCCAGGCUCCAGGGAGCCCUGAGGGAGCCCGGGCGCCGGAACCAAGGCCCAGGUCUUCGCCCUCGCUGUCCUCUAAGCUGUUCUUUCACAAGAGUUUGUUACAUCUUAGAAUAUGUAGUUUUCGGAUGGAAGUUUAAGUUAGAAAUAGUUUAAUAUUUUCUACUCAAAAGUGUAAUUCUUUUUUCAAGUGAAGGAAGCACUAAAGGCUUUUCAUUUGGAAGAGCACAGCCGUGAUGAAUUUGCUAUCCAUACGCUGCUGAAGUAGUGGAGUUGAGGCUGAAUUAAUGAGUGACUGUCAGAAAAAGGACAAUAGAAAAAAUAGGGAAAUCUCAAAGUAUAGACUGUAGAUAAUGAUCACAUGUCAGUAUUGGUUCAUUUAUUGUAACGAUGGUACCUCACUCAAGGUAAGAUAUCAAUAGUAGGAGAAACUGGGUGUGGGGUAUACGGAAACUGUCUAUACGUACUAUCUUUAUAAUUUUUCUGAAACAAAAACCACAAAACACAAUGAGUGAUUAUCCUGUAGAUAGGAAUAGCACACCUUAAAGAUGUUGAUUUUAAUGAGAUUAAGUUGGGCAGUCUUUGUUGUCCUUUAUUUUUGCCAUCCUAUUAAAAUAUUUUUCUCUUUCCCUGAUUCAAAGGACCAACCGUCCUAUACUCAGAGGGGGCCAGGCCCUUUCUGACAUGCCUUCCUGGCCUUGGAGAGUCUCCUCGUGGGCUAAUCAGUUCUCUGCUGGGCACCCCUCCCUGCAGACCUGGGGACCUCUCUCCACAUGCCCCUCUCCCUUCCAGGAAGGCCUCUGUCCCAGGAACUUGGCUGCCUGGGUCUCCUCGACUCUCAGCGUCGUCUCCUCCCCACAAGGAGCAGAGCAGGACCUUCCCCAGGUGCCCCUCCCUGAGCCUCAGCCUGAACGCCCUCCAGGCUCCCCUGGGACAGGCAGGGCUCCCUCGUUUGUUUCCUCUCUCAAGGGUCACUGUCCUUUCCUGGCUGCUGUCCCACGUCUAGAGAACUGUGGUUCUGUGUGUUUUGCCUGGUUUUCUUGAUCGUUUCAGAUGAGAGGGUAAGUCUGGUCCAGAAGCAGAAGCCAGUCAGAUGGAGUUUUGUGAAGAUUGUGUCUUAGUGCUGCAGCUGGAUUAUUGAUACAGUGUUUUCAUUGUCAAAGUAAAAGGUAGUUCUCUAUUCAUGACUCUUUUAAAAAUGAUUUUUAAAAAGUCCAGUCUCUUCUAAUUGGAGUCAUGUUAUCUGCAACAAAUUGGAAUAGACAAUGGCAUAACUGGGGAAGGUUUUAUUUAGUUCAGUAUGCAAAAAUAUGCCUUGAGGUGUCACCCAAUAGUGGUGACCCUCCGCACAGACACACCGUCCCCUGGACGGAGCGCCUUCGGGCAGCAAAGACCCCGAGCAGACCCUGGAGAAUGCCCCAUCUGUGCCUGUUAGGUUCUCUUCGUGAAAGUGCUGCUGAGCGUCAAGGUUGCUCGAGAACGUCCAGGCAUAAUUACUUGCCUUUUAGCUUGUUGGCCUCAGGGCUUGGUACUUCUGGAUUUUUCCACAUAGAGUUUGAUGGACUUUUCUGCUGCUAACUCCCCUCUUCCUCUGGGAGAAGCCCAUCUGGCAGCUCCAGCCCCCAGACCCUGAUAGUCGUCGUCCCCUCCAGUGAUGUCACUGAAGGCCCAGCUACAACGUGACGUCAUCAGGGAGCUCCUGCGGAGGAGAGUCCUGCUCAGCUGCUGAAGAGGAGCCGUCCUGGGUCUAGGAGGGACUCCUCCAGCAGCAUCUGUCUGGACUGUCACAUCCCAUUGGUAGGGGCCUGCUCUCUGCUACCCGUGCUUGUCUCUAGCUGCCCAGAGGUGGAAAUGACCAGGAUCACUCAGUGUCAGAGGAUUGCUUGUCCCUCUGUCUGUUAGAGGAGAAUGCAGUCGUAGAUGACACGGAAGAAACUGGGCAGACAGCCCUGAGAACGCCAAGCUCUUGGUCAUGAUGGAGGUGCACACGCACUGGCCUCAUCCAGGCCUCUGGCGGCUCUCAGGCGCAUCCUAUCCAGCGGCCACAGCAGUGGGUCUUUCUGCUCCUUCCUGUCCGUGUGCUGUGUGCUCUUCACAACAACGUGUCAGCGAUGCUUUUCUGCCCGAUGCUGGUGGUGAUGAAUGACCUGGGGCGGACGGGUCCCUGGGAGUGAGUCAACCCACGGCUGCUGUGCUUCCUGUCACCUUGGUUCUCACUUCGUUUGAUUUUACAGUGUUUUCCCCAAAUUGCUGUGUGCGCAGAUUCACAAGGAAAAUUAUCAAGAGCCGGGUGAUUCUAAAACACUUUUUCUUUGGUUUUUGUUUUGCUUCCAACCAAGUUAACCAGAGGGAACCUGAAUUGUGUAUCAUGGAAGCUAUUUUUGAUUGAGAAGAUAUUAACUUACAUAGCAAUAGAUGAAUAAACUGGUGGUUUUGAGACUUUAUGCUUAAAUGAUUAUAUAGAUGACAUUUACAAGUUUUAAUUUUGCUAAAUGCUUGCUGAUUUUAAAAAUUGCAAACUGAGAAUUGACAGUCCCUGUAAUUGUUAUGUACAUAUGUAUGAAUGAAGAAUUUUACUGUUUUUAGGACAGCAAAAAAAUAUCGUUUUUAGAAUAAGAAAAAUCCCAAGUCCAAGCAAAUGUUGGUUUUUGCUCCAUGUGACAUUUCCACCUCUUCAGCUUACUCAGUGUUACAGUGGUUGGUCACAUUUAUACAAUGUUUCUAAUCUGCUGUGUGACUUCAUGAGUUUUUCAGUGCAUCUGUGUUCCUCUCAACCCCUUCCUGCAGCAGGAGGAGCUCCUUCUCCUGUCCUGGGUUAACCCCCUCUCCUUCACCUCUGCUCCCUCGCACUCCCAUCUCCUGUGGGAUCUUUCUCCAAGAAGUAACCUUGUACUUCUCCUGUGCCAUUCCCUCUUUCCCUGCGAUGCACUGGCGUGUGGAUGUUCCACUCACAGCCACGGCCUCCUCCCACACCUUCCCUGGUGCAGCCAUCCCCUCGCUCCUCUUCCUCUACCACAGAACUUUGAGAAAGAGGUGCCACUGUCAUUGCUGCCUCACACUAGCCUCACCUCACCCAAUGCACCCUGGUCACCAAAGGUCACCUUGGUUUUAGCACCCUUGUGAACUCUAAUGGCCUAUGUGCACGUUGAUUACUGUUUAGGAUUGAAAAGACGUUCAUUUUUAAAAGCAACUAACUCCGGCAAUACCUUUACUCAUUCAAUCAACAAACUCGUGGGGAUCAUGUGCUCUUGGCUGGGGACUGGUGCUGCAGGGAUGAAAGACACCACUCCCAGCCUCAAGGAGCCUGAAGUCCAGUGGUGACAAUGGACACAAAACAAGCAACCGUAGACGUAAGCAAAGACCGAUGCAGGUCUGUUUGUGGACGGAGGUAAGCGUCGUUCUCUGACAGAGAAUAUUGUUCAGUCAGCAACGUGCUGGCUCUGCUGAUUGACGGAUGCUGUGUUGAAGUGAAUUUAGAGAUUUGUUUUUACUUUUUUACUCUUACAGAAUGGUGUUAGUUACAAAAUCUUUUUUUUUUUUUUUUUUAUGGAAACUUGACACGAUCUUCUUUGUAAAGUGAUGCGUCCCCGUGCACUUCGGGGAGAGGAAAGUUUAUCAUGAGCACCUAGUUUCAGGCAUCUCUUGCAGGACGUGCUGAAUGGCCUGGGGAGGGAGGUUAAGCUGAGGCAGAGAGACAGCUCCCACCGCAUGAGGACGCCUGGGGUCACCCUGCCUAAACCCGCAUCAGCACCACAGAGCUGCCCCGAUGGCAGGACCCGUCCUUACUCGUCACUGUGUCCUCCAUAACGUCUCUUUGCAGAUUCUGAACUGGAGAGCAGGCCAGGACACUCUGGGCGCCCAGAGCUAUUGCCUCAGCUUCUUCUGGACGAGUCUGUGACGCUUCUGGAUCGGUGGGACCCUUCUUGAUGCCACAGCAACUCCCUGCCUGGGCCGGAUGAAGAAGCCGUGAGUUGAUCUGUGUCCAGAAGGCUUCCAUGUUGGGUGGUGCCUGAUAGAGCCAACCAAGUCCUCUUUCUGGUCAUUGUGACUUCCAGAGGAGCAGCAGCAGGGCCUGGGGCAGAUAAUAAAUGCCAUCAGGUGGCCUGGGAGAGACUGCUCCUGUGGCCUGUGCGACUCCAACGCUAAUGAUUCUAAGAGGAGGAACCGGUGCCUUGUUGCCACGUCACAUGCUGUGAUAGCUGCCAGCGGCACCUGCUGCUCAUGUGUGGCCUUAUGCUGGUUCUAAAGUUUUCCAGUCAGUAAUGCAUCUUUGCCAAGGUAAUAUAGUGUUAAAUGGUAUUGCUUAAAAUACUAUGCUUUUUAAUGUAAACCAGUUCCUUAAAAAAUAUUACAAAGAAAACCAGCCAGGGAAGCUUGAGAAGGAAUUUUAGUAUCCAUGUUAUUUUAGAAUAGUUCUUAUUUAAAUAAAAAGCCUGUUGCCAUGUUUUAAUGUUUUGUACAUAUAAAUAAAAUGAGCCUGCCAAAUGUGUGGUUUUCAUCAGAUGGGCUUUGUCUGAUUGAAGAUUAAAUAUUUUUGUAAAACUG